rnacentral:rRNA from 1 species
GAUGAACGCUGGCGGCGUGCCUAAUACAUGCAAGUCGAGCGAACAGAUGAGGAGCUUGCUCCUCUGACGUUAGCGGCGGACGGGUGAGUAACACGUGGAUAACCUACCUAUAAGACUGGGAUAACUUCGGGAAACCGGAGCUAAUACCGGAUAAUAUAUUGAACCGCAUGGUUCAAUAGUGAAAGACGGUUUUGCUGUCACCUAUAGAUGGAUCCGCGCCGCAUUAGCUAGUUGGUAAGGUAACGGCUUACCAAGGCAACGAUGCGUAGCCGACCUGAGAGGGUGAUCGGCCACACUGGAACUGAGACACGGACCAGACUCCUACGGGAGGCAGCAGUAGGGAAUCUUCCGCAAUGGGCGAAAGCCUGACGGAGCAACGCCGCGUGAGUGAUGAAGGUCUUCGGAUCGUAAAACUCUGUUAUUAGGGAAGAACAAAUGUGUAAGUAACUAUGCACGUCUUGACGGUACCUAAUCAGAAAGCCACGGCUAACUACGUG